AGUGAACGCUGGCGGUAGGCCUAACACAUGCAAGUCGAACGGCAGCACAGUAAGGGUUUGCUCUUACGGGUGGCGAGUGGGGGGCGGGUGAGGAAUACAUCGGACUCUACUUUUUCGUGGGGGAUAUCGUAGAGACACUAACGCUAAUACCGCAUACGACCUACGGGUGAAAGGAGGGGCUCUUCGGACCUUGCCCGCUUGAGUGAGCCGAUGUCGGUUUAGCUAGUUGGCGGGGUAAAGGCACACCAAGGCGACGAUCCGUAGCGUGUCUGAGAGGAUGAUCAGCCACACUGGAACUGAGACACGGUCCAGACUCCUACGGGAGGCAGCAGUGGGGAAUAUUGGACAAUGGGCGCAAGCCUGAUCCAGCCAUACCGCGUGGGUGAAGAAGGCCUUCGGGUUGUAAAGCCCUUUUGUUGGGAAAGAAAAGAAGCAGGUUAAUACCCCGCUGUACUGACGGUACCCAAAGAAGAAGCACCGGCUAACUUCGUG
rnacentral:rRNA from 1 species